rnacentral:rRNA from 1 species
AUUGAACGCUGGCGGCAGGCCUAACACAUGCAAGUCGAGCGAGCGGCGGACGGGUGAGUAAUGUCUGGGAAACUGCCUGAUGGAGGGGGAUAACUCCUGGAAACGGUAGCUAAUACCGCAUAGCAUCAGAUGUGCCCCGAUGGGAUUGGCUAGUAGGUGGGGUAACGGCUCACCUAGGCGACGGUCCCUCGCUGGUCUGAGAGGAGGACCAGCGACCAUGGAACUGCGAGACGGUCCAGACUCCUACGGGGGGCAGUGGGGGGGAAUAUUGGACAACGGGCGAAAGCCUGUGCCAGCGAUGCCGCGUGUGUGAAGAAGGUCUUCGGAUUGUAAACGCCUUGCGACAGGGACGCGGUACCUGCAUAAGAAGCACCGGCUAACUACGUGCCAGCAGCCGCGGUAAUUC